GACGAACGCUGGCGGCGUGCCUAAUACAUGCAAGUCGAACGCACUCUCGUUUAGAUUGAAGGAGCUUGCUCCUGAUUGAUAAACAUUUGAGUGAGUGGCGGACGGGUGAGUAACACGUGGGUAACCUGCCCUAAAGUGGGGGAUAACAUUUGGAAACAGAUGCUAAUACCGCAUAAAACCUAACACCGCAUGGUGUAGGGUUGAAAGAUGGUUUCGGCUAUCACUUUAGGAUGGACCCGCGGUGCAUUAGUUAGUUGGUGAGGUAAAGGCUCACCAAGACCGUGAUGCAUAGCCGACCUGAGAGGGUAAUCGGCCACACUGGGACUGAGACACGGCCCAGACUCCUACGGGAGGCAGCAGUAGGGAAUCUUCCACAAUGGACGAAAGUCUGAUGGAGCAACGCCGCGUGAGUGAAGAAGGUUUCGGAUCGUAAAACUCUGUUGUUGGAGAAGAAUGUAUCUGAUAGUAACUGAUCAGGUAGUGACGGUAUCCGAACCAGAAAGCCAACGG
rnacentral:rRNA from 1 species